AAACGCUCCGCUGGGCGCAGCUUGAUACGACCGCAGAGGUCGAACCCUGAACAGUUGGGGCAAGCAUGGACACAACAUUCAAGCUUGAUACAGCACUGAAUUUGGAUUGUAAUUAAAUAUUUGACACAGCAUAAGUUUCUGACACAGAAUGAAUGUGGUCUUAGAACUUAAAAUUUUUUAAUUUACCUAUUCAAUAUUCAUAUCAUUAUUAUUUGCUUUUAUAUAUAAAUCAGAAAUAUCCAAUUUAAAGUGGAAAAUUUUAAAGAAAAAAAAGGAAA